UUUUUGAUUACUAACACAACUUACUAACAUAUUAUUGUAUUAACUUUACUUUAAUGUCAUUUAUCUUAUGCUCUUUACUUUAUGCUUUUAUUUUAGCAUAUCAUAUCAUAUUGUUUGUGCUUAUACUAUUUGCCCUUUGUCCACUUGGACCUUUGUUUAUGUUUAUUCUCUUUUUUCCUUUGUCCAUUUGGACUUCUUCUUAUUUUAAAUACAUUAAUAAAGGAAAAAAACCCUAAAAAAUUGGUUCUCUUGAUUCAUGGACUUGAGGUUACUAUAAUUG
rnacentral:lncRNA from 1 species